UUCCGUAGGUGUAGGUCCAUAUGGUGUACGUUCCAUAGGUAUAGAUCCAUAGGUGUAGGUUCCGUAGGUGUAGGUCCAUAUGGUGUAGGUUCCGUAGGUAUAGGUCCAUAUGGUGUAGGUUCCGUAGGUAUAGGUCCAUAUGGUGUAGGUUCCGUAGGUAUAGAUCCAUAGGUGUAGGUCCAUAUGGUGUAGGUUCCGUAGGUGUAGGUCCAUAUGGCGUAGGUUCUGUAGGUGCAGGACUAUAUGGUGUAGGUUCCAUAGAUGUACGAUCCAUAGGUAUAGGUCCAUAUGGUAUAGAUUUCAUAGAUGUAGGUAUAUAGGU